GGGCGCGUAGCUCAGGUGGUUAGAGCGCACGCCUGAUAAGCGUGAGGUCGGUGGUUCGAUUCCACUCGUGCCCA
rnacentral:tRNA from 1 species